GGCAACGUGGCUGAGUGGUUAAAGCGUAUGACUAGAAUUCCUUAAGUGCUAUCAUAUCCCUUCGGGGUCGUAGGUUCAAAUCCUGCCGUUGUCG